rnacentral:rRNA from 1 species
CGCGUAGGCGGACAUUUAAGUCAGGGGUGAAAUCCCGAGGCUCAACCUCGGAACUGCCUUUGAUACUGGGUGUCUUGAGUAUGAGAGAGGUAUGUGGAACUCCGAGUGUAGAGGUGAAAUUCGUAGAUAUUCGGAAGAACACCAGUGGCGAAGGCGACAUACUGGCUCAUUACUGACGCUGAGGCGCGAAAGCGUGGGAGCAAACA